UACGUAGGGUGCAAGCGUUAAUCGGAAUUACUGGGCGUAAAGCGUGCGCAGGCGGUUUCGCAAGUCAGAUGUGAAAUCCCCGGGCUCAACCUGGGAACUGCAUUUGAAACUACGAGGCUCGAGUGUGUCAGAGGGGGGUGGAAUUCCACGUGUAGCAGUGAAAUGCGUAGAGAUGUGGAGGAACACCAAUGGCGAAGGCAGCCCCCUGGGAUAACACUGACGCUCAUGCACAAAGACGUGGGAGCAACGGAGGAACAU
rnacentral:rRNA from 1 species